AUUGAACGCUGGCGGCAGGCCUAACCCAUGCACGUCGAACGAGUGGCGGACGGGUGAGUAAUGUCUGGGAAACUGCCUGAUGGAGGGGGACAACUACUGGAAACGGUAGCUAAUACCGCAUACCAUCGGAUGUGCCCAGAUGGGAUUAGCUAGUAGGUGAGGUAAAGGCUCACCUAGGCGACGACCCCUAGCUGGUCUGAGAGGAUGACCAGCCAAACUGGAACUGAGACACGGUCCAGACGCCUACGGGAGGCAGCAGUGGGGAAUAUUGCACAAUGGGCGCAAGCCUGAUACAGCAAUGCCGCGUGUAUGAAGAAGGCCUUCGGGUUGUAAAGUACUUUCAGCGGGGAGGAGUUACCCGCAGAAGAAGCAACGGCUAACUCCGUGCCAGCAGCCGCGGUAAUUC
rnacentral:rRNA from 1 species